CCUACGGGAGGCAGCAGUGAGGAAUAUUGGUCAAUGGACGAGAGUCUGAACCAGCCAAGUAGCGUGAAGGAUGACUGCCCUCUGGGUUGUAAACUUCUUUUAUAUGGGAAUAAAACAGGGUAUGCAUACCCUCUUGUAUGUACCAUAUGAAUAAGGAUCGGCUCACUCCGUGCCAGCAGCCGCGGUAAUACGGAGGAUCCGAGCGUUAUCCGGAUUUAUUGGGUUUAAAGGGAGCGUAGGUGGAGUGUUAAGUCAGUUGUGAAAGUUUGCGGCUCAACCGUAAAAUUGCAGUUGAAACUGGCAGUCGUGAGUACAGUAGAGGUGGGCGGAAUUCGUGGUGUAGCGGUGAAAUGCUUAGAUAUCACGAAGAACUCCGAUUGCGAAGGCAGCUCACUGGACUGCAACUGACACUGAUGCUCGAAAGUGUGGGUAUCAAACAGGAUUAGAUACCCCGGUAGUC
rnacentral:rRNA from 1 species